UACGGGGGGGGCAAGCGUUGUUCGGAAUUACUGGGCGUAAAGGGCUCGUGGGCGGCCAACUAAGUCAGACGUGAAAUCCCUCGGCUUAACCGGGGAACUGCAUCUGAUACUGGAUGGCUUGAGUUCGGGAGAGGGAUGCGGAAUUCCAGGUGUAGCGGUGAAAUGCGUAGAUAUCGGAAGGAACACCAGUGGCGAAGGCGGCUACCUGGCCUAAUACUGACACUGAGGCACGAAAGCGUGGGGAGCAAACAGG
rnacentral:rRNA from 1 species